GCGGUCAGUUCGUGCUUUUCGUGGGCUUUGAUACCCUGUACAAGCAAAUUGGUCUAAGAAUAUGAUUAUUUCUAUAGAAGAGGAAAAGGAUACCAUUGAGGAUGAUAAGCCAGCUGCUACUUAAAUAAAUUACACUAAAUAUUUACUAUAUAUGAAAUAAGAGAGAUUUCCAGAUAAGAAAAACUUAGAAGAUGGUUCUGAAAUUCCACAAAUAAACCUGAAAUUAAUCUAUAAGAAAUCCUGAACAAAACUCGGAACUCUUUCUUUACUAAAUGAGAGAUUAAGUGUCACGGGGUAUUCCCUGCUUCGAGGACAUGCUCUCUCUCCCCUGUUGUCCUGUCUGCUUCUGUUGGCGGUAUGCCGCCUUAUCUCUCAAAGCGCUUAUAAUUGAAAAAGUUUUUAUGCCACAAGCUCUAACCGCACAUCCACAUCCAGCAUUCAGUAUACUCUACACAGCAAACCUCUUCGUCCUU